CACGCAGGCGGUCAUACAAGUCAGCUGUUAAAUGCAUGGGCUUAACCGAUGCAUGCGGUUGAAACUGUAUGGCUAGAGUACUGGAGAGGUAAGCGGAAUUCCCGGUGUAGCGGUGAAAUGCGUAGAUAUCGGGAAGAACACCAGUGGCGAAGGCGGCUUACUGGCCAGUAACCGACGCUGAGGUGCGAAAGCCAGGGGAGCGAACC
rnacentral:rRNA from 1 species